AGUGACGAUAGCCUAGGAGAUACACCUGUGCCCAUGCCGAACACAGAAGUUAAGCCCUAGAACGCCGGAAGUAGUUGGGGGUUGCCCCCUGUGAGAUAGGGAAGUCGCUUAGCU
rnacentral:rRNA from 1 species